rnacentral:rRNA from 1 species
GACUACUGGGGUAUCUAAUCCUGUUUGCUCCCCACGCUUUCGUGCAUGAGCGUCAGUGUUAUCCCAGGAGGCUGCCUUCGCCAUCGGUGUUCCUCCGCAUAUCUACGCAUUUCACUGCUACACGCGGAAUUCCACCUCCCUCUGACACACUCUAGCCUUGCAGUCACAAGUGCAGUUCCCAGGUUAAGCCCGGGGAUUUCACACCUGUCUUACAAAGCCGCCUGCGCACGCUUUACGCCCAGUAAUUCCGAUUAACGCUCGCACCCUACGUCUUACCGCGGCUGCUGGCACGUAGUUAGCCGGUGCUUAUUCUGCGGGUACCGUCAUUAGCGUCUGGUAUUAGCAAACGCCGUUUCGCUCCCGCCAAAAGUGCUUUACAACCCGAAGGCCUUCUUCACACACGCGGCAUUGCUGGAUCAGGCUUGCGCCCAUUGUCCAAAAUUCCCCACUGCAGCCUCCCGUAGG